rnacentral:miRNA from 1 species
GAGUGUAGUUCUGAGCAGAGC